CAGCCAGAGGAAGGACUGGGGGCCGUCUCGGGGAUGGAGCCAUUAGCCUGACGCCCGGGUAAUGGCCCAGAGCUUCCCAGGCCGGCACCUCCUCCCUAAUGGGCAUUAAUGGCUCCACGGGAUGACCAGUCCUCACUUAUGGCCUCCUCCCUCAGACUACACCAGGCCUCUCUUCAGAGCCCGAAAUCGGAGCAGGCGGGACCACAGCGACGGGAAGAGAUAACAAGAUACCUAGAGACGAGGUAUAUCUCAUUCCACGAAGCUUUGCAGAUAUUGUGUUUGUACAAGACCCUCCACCAGCAAAAAGAGUAUGACUCGCUGAAGGCUCUGAUGAUGGGUAGCAUUUUUUUAGCAAUAAAGUAUUUUUUAAAUUAA